UACAGAUUUUAAUGUUGCACUUCCUGCUUUCAGUGAUGUAAAAAUCGUCAUUUUGCGUCACUGGAAGCAGGAAGUCUCAUAUCCCUGUAGAGGGGGUGAGACUACAAACACUACUUCCUCAUUUUUUUUUCACUCACGCUACAGACCUAUUACAGAUCAGUGGGUGGGACUUCACUUGCAGAAACAAAAAAAUAUAACCGCCAUCUUGUUUGGAAGCUAAGCGGAGGCACUGUCGAGCCAGACGUUAUGCUAAUCAAUGUAAUAUGGAAGAAAUUUCGAAAGUAUGAUGGUUGAAUCAGAUGUUCGUGGCUACCUUUAUGAGCCGCAAUAUAGCGAAGAGCAGCUGAGGCUGAACAGCAGGCGGCUGAGGAUGCUGCAGCCGAGGCAGAGGACCUGCCUGUCGCGGACGAGGAGCCCGGACUGGCUCGAGCUGGGGCGGACUGCUGGUGCCUGUGCUCUCGCUGUGCGCCUACGGACACACGGACGUCUGACUGUAAAGGACCAGAAGUGAUUGAACAGCAUGAUAGAGUUCACUGAGAUCCAGGAAGAAAUACCUGAUUCCAAGAAUAAAAGUGUAAAACAGUUUCACUUUCUAAUGUAAAAGGAGCUCUGGAAAGACUCUAUAAAGGUGACAUAUAAGCAUAAUUAAGCCUUUUUACUAUACUGUAUCUUAUAUAAGUUUUCCUUUGGUGUUUGUUGUGUGACGACCCUGUGAGUGAACUCCUCCAGGAGCCUGGCAGGUGGAGUCGGGUCAUCAGGAAGAUUUAGCUCACCUGGUCUGGUUGCAAGACUAUAUAAGCUGGAUGCAGUCAGCCAGUGUCUCUGCCCAGUCUCUGCUGAAACCUUACUGUUUAUGGUAAAUGUCCUUAAUGCUUUCCAGCUGCUCACCGGUGACAUGCCUGGCCGCCUUGAUGACCCACUACAGAUGUAAAGAAUCCCUGUGGCAGCCUCAUUUUAAAAUCCAGAAUCACAACCUAACAUCAUACAAGUUCUUGGUAGACUUUGCACCCUCUUAUAAUAUCCCAUUAGUCAAGCAGUGGCAGUCAGUGACACACUGUUCAAAAUGCUUAUGUUGACACUAUUCUGAAGGCUUGAGUGUUGCUUCUGUCUGUGAAGAUGUGAGUUUGCUGUAUGUAUGUCAGCCAAUUCACGCCUGGAUACAUGCUGAGAUGCAAAUAUAUAUGCUGUGAAAGAUGAGUCUUUGAGGAAGUUUAUUUGUAGCUCAUCUGAUGGUUUCUACAAAGUUUCACUGCCACAGGUGUGGUCCGAGAGGUGCAGAGAGAGGAGGGAAGUGACUCUCUAAAGAGGAUAUGUUUAGAAAGGCCAGGAAAUUGAAAAACCUUCAGAGCUUAACUGAUAGCAGAAGUUCACGGUAUGUUGACUUGAUGUUGUGUUAUUUUAGAUGUUCUAGAGUUGUGACUCAAACGACAACAAAAUCCUCAAAAGCCCUUUAUGUUUGUCACAAGUCCACUAUCACUCAUAUUCAUAUUCACUUUUAAAGGCUGUACAAACAUUGUAAAUAUCAUAUCUAUUAAAAGCAAAUAGGAUCAACAAAAUGACCAAUGUGAAUAACCACAGACAGAAUGUAUCUAUUUCUACUUCAGUAAAAUCUGUUAUGAAUGUAUCAAUUAAAAGUUGAUACUACACUUCACUAACACAUGAUAAUGGAACUUAAAGUGUAAAGUAAUUGAGAACUUCUGUAAACAUAAUGUAACAACAGUGCACAUAUUUAUUCAUUUAUUUAAACAAUUAGGAAUUACAGUUAUAUUUUUGAGUUUUACAGGUGGCAGAGAAAUCCAUUUUCACUGACUCAGUCAAUCAUUACAUGAGAACCAUUUGAUUUGGAAUAUUUACAGUAUAUUAUUGAUUCUGCACGUUUUUAAAACUACAUAAAAAGACAAAACAAACAAAGUCAUGCAGUCUGUCUCACUGUGCAUCUCUCUCCUUCUUUAUUAUUUCUUCAUCUGAAAAAAAAACCAGAACAUAAAUCAAUUAAAUAUAUUAAUUUGUCAAAGUUGUACAGUUUGCUUGACCACUUCAAUCUGGAGUUCCCCCAGCUCUUCUAUACAGUCGAUAGUUGUGGCCAGCAGAUUCACUGCAGGCGACUGAUGUUCUAUAACAAUUAUAUUAACUGUUGGGCUGGAUGAUUGGUUCAUUUUAAUAACAUUUCUUAAGAACUUAAAAACAAACUUAUUAGUAUGACAAGCUUCAUCCUCAUGCAGGACAGCUUCACUAUUGUUGAUGUGUUAAAUAAAGAUGCUAUCUGUAAUGUGUUUAAUUCAAUUAAUUGUUAAUAUCUAUGUAUGUGCCGUGGAGCAUUUAAAACACACAAACCAGCACAUUUUCUCUGGUUGGAGACACUCUUCACUCUGCUGCUGCUAGAUGUUGAUCGGGCACAUGUGCUGGUUGGCCGUGCUCAACUUCAGAACAGAGGCAGUGAAAUGAAGUGAUGCAUUUUACGUCACUUUACUGUCAAACUGUGUUUAUCAAAAUCAGCACAAUAAAGCUGAAAUAUCCCA